rnacentral:lncRNA from 1 species
GUUGGCUUCUCCACUUUCUGUCUUCUUUGUGAGGUUGGCUGGGGCUCUCCACGCCCUGUUGGGGCUGCAGGGGUGAGCUCAGUCCGUUCCCCAGUGCUGAGCAUCUGACUCAUCCAUCCAGGCACGGAGCACCUCACGCGUCCCUCCUCGCUGCUCUCAGCCACCGAUUAUCUCAGAUCAUCAGUGCUUUGGAUGACCGAAUAAACAGGAUUAUCCUCUCCCGGUGCCUGUUAAGUCAAAACUGGAUGGUGAUCCUAUUAGUGGAUCGCAAUAGCGUGAGGAUAUCCAAGCAGGAGAUUAUCUUUGAUUUGCUCUGCGGAGCUGAAAACAGUACUGGGAAAUUUUUAAUCUCCAUGAAGGGGACAGUAGAGCUCACAGAAAGAAACCCAAAUUCACGACCAUCCCCUCGAUCAGCUGCCUAGCUCAAAAAAAGCAUCACGAUCGACAAAGUCAUACCCUUCUUUCAUUGAUAUAGUAACGGAUUUGGGAUGCCAAUGGAAAACGUCUUACAUGCGUAGCCUCUUUCAUCCAAACUGAUCCCAGCAAGCCUUACAAGUGCCACAUGCCAAUGGCACGUGGGAUUAACAGCACUUACAGGAGCCUCUCUGUGCUCCCACUGAGGUUACAGAGCACGGCAGGGGCACUCACUGCUGAGUCAGACAUGAAAUGGGCUGGAACAGGGCCAGGCUGCUGAGCUCAAGCCUUGCAUUGUGCGGGAAGGGUUUGGGUCUGCGCCGUGUGCAGAACGACGGGGCAGGUUGCAGUAGGGCACAGAACGAUGCUGUUUGAAACAUCUUGGUAAUACACCCUUAUUUGUUUUUUUCCCAACACUUGAGGUUAAAAAUAUUGCGAGAAGUUGCAGAGGAGGAAAUACUCAUAUCUCAAUUAAAGUCUCCUUAAAGAAAUGAUUUGGUUUUUAAUGCAGGAUAUCAGGGAAGCAAGCCAGCCAGCUCCCAACACCUUUUAAUAAAUGCGUGCAGAAAAAUAAAUUCCUUCAAAAGAAGCUUUGAAGAGUGUAAUUAAGCAUGAAAGUUACCAUAUAUUAAAUUAUACAUCUAGUAAAAAAGAGUCAUUAGCCCAGCAAAUGGGCUGUUAAUGAUUUCAGGUUUGCCUCGGGCUGCAAGCUAACCAACCUGUGAUGAAGCAGUGGCUGGGCUGCUGCUGAGCCUGGCUGCUGCCACAGACCUUACCCGCUGCUUGGCAAGUGUGGAACAACCAAACCUGCUAUAAAUCACACCAAACGUGGCCUGUAGAAACAGCUGGGGUUUGGGGCAGGUGAAAUGCCAGCUUUGAGGUGCUGGAAGCUCCUCCAUGCACCAGACCCUGCUGUGCAUCCAGCUGCACUCCGCCAUUCCUGCUGGGUCUCAUGAUCCUCUGCGCCUGCCCAGAGGGUUCCCAACCCCACGGGGUCCCCUCCAGAGCUGCCACCACCCCACAAUCCCCACCGCAGAGCUUUGGCUGAAGCCUGCCUGCCUUCAGCACUGAGCUGGCUGCCUGCCCAGCAAGGGGAGACGUGGCACUGAGGGGCACAGCAGCAGGGCACGGUGACAUGGAGGCAUGGCCACGAGGGCUCAGCUGCUCUGCUUGUUGCUGGUCAGCUGCCGCUCCCCUCCUCUCUCUGGGUAAUUCCUCCCCUUCCUGUGGUGCACCCCAAAAGCACAGAAACCCAUUUCCUCGCCAGGCCCUGAGCCCUGCUGUGUGCUCCCUGGAGAGCUGCUCACGGUCUGAGCUGACAGAGCACUUCCCCUGAGCAGAAACGGUGGGAACGCAGCACUCUGUGGGACGGUCCAACAGCAAAAUGAGAGCUCUGUUUGAUUUAAGGAAGCUCUUCUGUCACUGUUUUGUAACGAGCAGUUCUGGAUAGUUCCGACUUUUCUUUUUUCAAGUAAAACGAAGAGGCGUUUCCCUCUUUUAUGGUUCACAUGAUCGAAGGGCCAAGAUUUAUAUUUCCACAUAAGAAGAAAUUGGAUCCUGUCAGCAGACAGUGGCACAACGCCUGGCCCAGCUCCACCAGGACACAGCCACGGGCCAAACAGGGGAGGGGGCUUCUGUGGAAACAAUGCCUACCAAUAGCACCGAGAGUUAAUGUCUCCUUUCCCAUCUGCCCUUCUGAUGACAGCACUCAAGGCACAACCUCAGGUGGCCUAUUGGACCCCAUUUAAGACAUCUACGUCAUUCUAUGUCAGAUAAGUCACAUGUAUGGUGCCCGGUCCUUCCUCCAAAUGCUGUUGUUUCUCAUGGUUAUUCCUACAAAAAGAACAUGGCUCGAUUUUGGCAGCAGUUGCACAGACUUCAGGGUAAAUAUAGCCGUCGUUGACUUUCCCUGAGCCUCAGAUACUUCUGAAAAUAAGCUUUCUGGCACCCACCAAGGAACAUGCUGAACAUCUCCUUUAGUUACAUGCCCCCAAAUAAAAGGAACUCAUAAAGUCCUUAAGAAUUUGAUUUGAGAUCACAUUUAACUGUCCUUCCAAGCAUUCAGGCGCAGUCCACCUCUCACUCCACUGACAGCAGUCAGAAUAUCUUCAGUGUAAUCAGCGGUGGCAUCACAGAAUAUAACUGGAAAGUAAGAAUUAAAGAACGGAAUUAUUCCUUUUUAACAGCCUCCCCUGUACGGUCCAUGUGCACACCGGAGGCUGUUCCAAGGGCACCUGAGCUCCCACCACACUGACCCCAACCUCAGCUCACACAGCUCUCAGGCCUCUGUAUUUAAAAUAUGCUUUCCAAAUUUGUUUUGUUUGUAAUACAUUAAAAAAAAACAAAAAACAAAAUAA